rnacentral:rRNA from 1 species
GACGAACGCUGGCGGCGUGCUUAACACAUGCAAGUCGAGCGAUGAAGCUCCUUCGGGAGUGGAUUAGCGGCGGACGGGUGAGUAACACGUGGGUAACCUGCCUCAUAGAGGGGAAUAGCCUUCCGAAAGGAAGAUUAAUACCGCAUAACAUUGCAGUACGGCAUGGUACAGUAAUUAAAGGAGCAAUCCGCUAUGAGAUGGACCCGCGGCGCAUUAGCUAGUUGGUGAGGUAACGGCUCACCAAGGCGACGAUGCGUAGCCGACCUGAGAGGGUGAUCGGCCACAUUGGGACUGAGACACGGCCCAGACUCCUACGGGAGGCAGCAGUGGGGAAUAUUGCACAAUGGGGGAAACCCUGAUGCAGCAACGCCGCGUGAGUGAUGACGGUCUUCGGAUUGUAAAACUCUGUCUUUGGGGACGAUAAUGACGGUACCCAAGGAGGAAGCCACGGCUAACUACGUGCCAGCAGCCGCGGUAACAC